GAUGAACGCUGGCGGCGUGCCUAAUACAUGCAAGUCGAGCGAAUGGAUUAAGAGCUUGCUCUUAUGAAGUUAGCGGCGGACGGGUGAGUAACACGUGGGUAACCUGCCCAUAAGACUGGGAUAACUCCGGGAAACCGGGGCUAAUACCGGAUAACAUUUUGAACCGCAUGGUUCGAAAUUGAAAGGCGGCUUCGGCUGUCACUUAUGGAUGGACCCGCGUCGCAUUAGCUAGUUGGUGAGGUAACGGCUCACCAGGGCAACGAUGCGUAGCCGACCUGAGAGGGUGGUCGGCCACACUGGGACUGAGACACGGCCCAGACUCGUACGGGAGGCAGCAGUAGGGAAUCUUCCGCAAUGGACGAAAGUCUGACGGAGCAACGCCGCGUGUGUGAUGAAGGCUUUCGGGUCGUAAAACUCUGUUGUUAGGGAAGAACAAGUGCUAGUUGAAUAAGCUGGCACCUUGACGGUACCUAACCAGAAAGCCACGGCUAACUACGUGCCAGCCGCCGCCGUAA
rnacentral:rRNA from 1 species